rnacentral:autocatalytically_spliced_intron from 1 species
AACCGCCAUAUACGAGACCCGUACGUACGGUGGUGUGAGAGGCGCACUGGCGAUCAUCUGAUCGUCAGCCGUCUACUCGAU